UUCCGGUUGAUCCUGCCGGAGGUCACUGCUAUUGGGAUUCGGCUAAGCCAUGCAAGCGGAGGGCGCGGUCGAAAGAUCGUGGCCCCGCACACUGCUCAGUAACACGUAGUCAACCUACCCUUGGGACGGGGACAACCUCGGGAAACUGAGGCUAAUACCCGAUAGGUGAGGGACGCUGGGAUGCCUCCUCGCCCAAAGCUCCGGCGCCCAAGGAUGGGACUGCGGUCUAUCAGGCUGUUGGUGGUGUAACGGACCACCAAACCUACGACGGGUACGGGCGAUGGGAGUCGGAGCCCGGAGAUGGGGACUGAGACAAGGCCCCAGGCCCUACGGGGCGCAGCAGGCGCGAAAACUCCGCAAUGCGCGCAAGCGUGACGGGGGGAUCCCAAGUGCCGUUGGUCUUUCGAUCGACGGUUUUUAGGAAGUCUAAGAAGCUUCCAGAAUAAGGGCUGGGCAAGACUGGUGCCAGCCGCCGCGGUAACACCAGCAGCCCAAGUGGUGGCCACGAUUAUUGGGCCUAAAGCGCUCGUAGCCGGAUCAGCAAGUCCCUUGUGAAAUCGGGCCGCCUAACGGUUCGGCGUGCAAGGGAUACUGUUGGUCUUGAGGCCGGGAGAGGUCGGAGGUACUCCUGGGGUAGCGGUGAAAUGCUCUAAUCCUAGGGGGACCACCAGUGGCGAAGGCGUCCGACCAGAACGGACCUGACGGUGAGGGGCGAAGGCUAGGGGAGCGAACGGGAUUAGAUACCCCGGUAGUCCUAGCUGUAAAGCAUGCGGGCCAGGUGUCUAGUGCUCCUUGAGGGCACUAGGUGCCGGAGGGAAGCCGUUAAGCCCGCCGCCUGGGAAGUACGGGCCGCAAGGCUGAAACUUAAAGAAAUUGGCGGGGGAGCACACAGAGGUGGGACCUGCGGUCAAUUG
rnacentral:rRNA from 1 species